GAUGAACGCUGGCGGCGUGCCUAAUACAUGCAAGUCGAGCGAACAGACGAGGAGCUUGCUCCUCUGACGUUAGCGGCGGACGGGUGAGUAACACGUGGAUAACCUACCUAUAAGACUGGGAUAACUUCGGGAAACCGGAGCUAAUACCGGAUAAUAUAUUGAACCGCAUGGUUCAAUAGUGAAAGACGGUUUUGCUGUCACUUAUAGAUGGAUCCGCGCCGCAUUAGCUAGUUGGUAAGGUAACGGCUUACCAAGGCAACGAUGCGUAGCCGACCUGAGAGGGUGAUCGGCCACACUGGAACUGAGACACGGUCCAGACUCCUACGGGAGGCAGCAGUAGGGAAUCUUCCGCAAAGGGCGAAAGCCUGACGGAGCAACGCCGCGUGAGUGAUGAAGGUCUUCGGAUCGUAAAACCCUGUUAUUAGGGAAGAACAAAUGUGUAAGUAACUAUGCACGUCUUGACGGUACCUAAUCAGAAAGCCACGGCUAACUACGUG
rnacentral:rRNA from 1 species